AUACGUAGGGGGCGAGCGUUGUCCGGAAUGAUUGGGCGUAAAGGGCGCGUAGGCGGCCCGGUAAGUCUGGAGUGAAAGUCCUGUUUUCAAGAUGGGAAUUGCUUUGGAUACUGAUGGGCUUGAGUGCAGGAGAGGUUAUCGGAAUUCCCGGUGUAGCGGUGAAAUGCGUAGAGAUCGGGAGGAACACCAGUGGCGAAGGCGGGUAACUGGACUGCAACGGACGCUGAGGCGCGAAAGUGUGGGGAGCAAACAGGAGUAGAUACCCUGGUAGUCCACACGGUAAACGAUGAAUGCUAGGUGUAAGAGGUAUCGACCCCUGUUGUGCCGGAGUUAACACAAUAAGCAUUCCGCCUGGGGAGUACGGACGCAAGGUUGAAACUCAAAUGAAUUGACGGGG
rnacentral:rRNA from 1 species